GUAGGGAAUAUUGCGCAAUGGACGAAAGUCUGACGCAGCGACGCCGCGUGAGUGAUGAAGGCCUUAGGGUCGUAAAGCUCUGUUGAAUGGGAAGAAAAAAUGACGGUACCAUUCGAGGAAGGACCGGCUAACUUCGUGCCAGCAGCCGCGGUAAUACGAGGGGUCCUAGCGUUGUUCGGAAUCAUUGGGCGUAAAGGGUGUGUAGGUGGCCAUGUAAGUCAGGUGUGAAAGCCCCGGGCUCAACCCGGGAAGUGCACUUGAUACUGCGUGGCUUGAGUACCGAAGAGGGUAGUGGAAUUCCAGGUGUAGUGGUGAAAUACGUAGAUAUCUGGAGGAACACCGGUGGCGAAGGCGGCUACCUGGUCGAGUACUGACACUGAGACACGAAAGCAUGGGGAUCAAACAGGAUUAGAAACCCUUGUAGUCC
rnacentral:rRNA from 1 species